AGGUAGCUUGCUACUGGAUUCAGCGGCGGACGGGUGAGUAAUGCCUAGGAAUCUGCCCGGUAAUGGGGGAUAACGUUUCGAAAGGAACGCUAAUACCGCAUACGUCCUACGGGAGAAAGCAGGGGACCUUCGGGCCUUGCGUUAUCGGAUGAGCCUAGGUCGGAUUAGCUAGUUGGUGAGGUAAUGGCUCACCAAGGCGACGAUCCGUAACUGGUCUGAGAGGAUGAUCAGUCACACUGGAACUGAGACACGGUCCAGACUCCUACGGGAGGCAGCAGUGGGGAAUAUUGGACAAUGGGCGAAAGCCUGAUCCAGCCAUGCCGCGUGUGUGAAGAAGGUCUUCGGAUUGUAAAGCACUUUAAGUUGGGAGGAAGGGCAGUCAGUUAAUACCUUGCUGUCUUGACGUUACCAACAGAAUAAGCACCGGCUAACUUCGUGCCAGCAGCCGCGGUAAUACGAAGGGUGCAAGCGUUAAUCGGAAUUACUGGGCGUAAAGCGCGCGUAGGUGGUUCAGCAAGUUGGAUGUGAAAGCCCCGGGCUCAACCUGGGAACUGCAUCCAAAACUACUGAGCUAGAGUACGGUAGAGGGUGGUGGAAUUUCCUGUGUAGCGGUGAAAUGCGUAGAUAUAGGAAGGAACACCAGUGGCGAAGGCGACCACCUGGACUGAUACUGACACUGAGGUGCGA
rnacentral:rRNA from 1 species